rnacentral:rRNA from 1 species
CGGGUGGUAAUGCCGGAUGCUCCAGUUGGAUGCAUGUCCUUCUGGGAAAGAUUCAUCGGUAUGGGAUGGGGUCGCGUCCUAUCAGCUUGAUGGCGGGGUAACGGCCCACCAUGGCUUCGACGGGUAGCCGGCCUGAGAGGGCGACCGGCCACAUUGGGACUGAGAUACGGCCCAGACUCCUACGGGAGGCAGCAGUGGGGAAUAUUGCACAAUGGGCGCAAGCCUGAUGCAGCGACGCCGCGUGCGGGAUGACGGCCUUCGGGUUGUAAACCGCUUUUGACUGGGAGCAAGCCCUUCGGGGUGAGUGUACCUUUCGAAUAAGCACCGGCUAACUACGUGCCAGCAGCCGCGGUAAUACGUAGGGUGCAAGCGUUAUCCGGAAUUAUUGGGCGUAAAGGGCUCGUAGGCGGUUCGUCGCGUCCGGUGUGAAAGUCCAUCGCUUAACGGUGGAUCCGCGCCGGGUACGGGCGGGCUUGAGUGCGGUAGGGGAGACUGGAAUUCCCGGUGUAACGGUGGAAUGUGUAGAUAUCGGAAAAGA